rnacentral:rRNA from 1 species
UACAGAGGUCCCAAGCGUUGUUCGGAUUCACUGGGCGUAAAGGGUGCGAUGAGGUGCCGGGUAAGUCUGACGUGAAAUCUCCGAGCCUAACUCGGAAACUGCAUCGGAUACUAUCCGGCUUGAGGGUUGGAGGGGGGACUGGAAUACUUGGUGGUAGCAGUGAAAUGCGUAGAUAUCAAGUGGAACACCAGUGGCGAAGGCGAGUCCCUGGACGAACUCCUGACACUGAGGCACGAAAGCUAGGGGAGCAAACGGG